UACGUAGGGUGCAAGCGUUAAUCGGAAUUACUGGGCGUAAAGCGUGCGUAGACGGCUAUCUAAGUCGGGUGUGAAAGCCCCGGGCUCAACCUGGGAAUUGCAUUCGAGACUGAAUAGCUAGGGUACGGUAGAGGGAAGUGGAAUUUCCGGUGUAGCGGUGAAAUGCGUAGAUAUCGGAAGGAACAUCAGUGGCGAAGGCGACUUCCUGGCCUGUUCUUGACGCUGAGGCGCGAAAGCUAGGGUAGCAAACGGG
rnacentral:rRNA from 1 species